CUUCUCUUCUCGCCUCCCUGUAGAACAACCUGUUCACUCUCCGCUCCUCCUCGCUUGUGCUCCCUGCCAACCUAGUGAACGCCGCCUUCUUCACCUCCACUUUUCCUUUGACUACCUCGUUCCACCACCAAUAACCCUGAUGACUACCUCGUUCCACUACCUGAUUUAAUCAGAUAGUCCAAUUAAUAUGCUAUUCCACCAAUUAAUGCCUUAGGAAUUGUAGGUAAACACAGGCUCAUUGUUGUUGGGUUGCACAUCUCGGACUUUCUGUUUAAAGGUUCUUUAGGGACAUAAUAUUGAGCUCCCAAUCUGUUUGUAACAAGUUAAAAUACAUUAGUACUAGAUGAUUAUGGAGUAAUGGAAAUCAAUCCUUAGAGCAAGACUUGGUUAUUCCUUCGACAAUGUUAGCAGUUUAUGGGUUUGAUGUUCUAAUUUAUAUGCUUCGGCUACCUGUAAAGGCUCCAAAAAUUUAAAGAAAAGUUAUCAUAAGUUUGGCACAUUCAGAUGGUUAUGAGAUUUCUUUUCUUGAGCAAGUUUUUUGUGUUGGCUAGUGGAGGCAAUAAAC
rnacentral:lncRNA from 1 species